GACGAACCGUCCUAACGUUGUUCGGAAUCACUGGGCUUAAAGGGCGCGUAGGCGGCCUGCCAAGUCAGGGGUGAAAUCUUUCGGCUUAACCGGAAAAGUGCCUUUGAUACUGGUAGGCUUGAGGGAGGUAGGGGCCUGUGGAACUUCUGGUGGAGCGGUGAAAUGCGUUGAUAUCAGAAGGAACGCCGGUGGCGAAAGCGACGGGCUGGCCCUCUUCUGACGCUGAGGCGCGAAAGCUAGGGGAGCAAACGGG
rnacentral:rRNA from 1 species